UUUUUUUAAGGAACACAAUCCUCGAAGAUUUGCUUAGAAAAUACGCGAAAACAAUAUUUAGCGGCAACGACUAUAUUUUUCUCCUUUGAUAUAUAAAGAUUGAUCUAUGUUGCUCUCUCAUAAAUCGACCGACACACACAAACAAGCGAGGGUUGCUGUUUCUGAUUGCAAUUUGCGCCUCCACUCCUCUUUCGAAUUCCACCAUUGUUGCUGUGCUUGCUGAUCAGUUGUCGUACUUGUAUUCAGACUAGAUUCACGGAAAAGUUUUACAUUUUGCAAAUGGAACGCAAACGUAGAACUAAUCGUCGGUCAGGUGUGGCGGAAGAUGAGAUACUGAAGAAGGCAAUGAGAGUGGUGAAAAAACUGAAGACGAAGUCCGGUUAUUCCAACGACUCAAAUCCAUUUGGUGACUCUAAUCUGAAUGACAAGUUUCUUUGGCUGAAGAAAGUUGAGCGCGACCUUUCUCUAGGUGUUGCUUUUUCUAUUAAGGGAGAGAAGGAGAGACAAAGAGUUAGAAAGAUGGAAAUUGAAAAACAGAAAAAGAGAAAACAACACAAGGCAAUGGAGAAAGCACAACAUGAAGAACAAAUGGCAUUGCUAGCCAGAGCACGUGCUCGAGCUGAGUUCCAAGACUGGGAACAAAAGGAACAGGACUUUGAUUUUCAUCAAAGCAAAGUGAGGUCAGAGAUUAGAUUGCGUGAAGGGCGUGCCAGGCCAAUCGACGUCCUAGCCCAGCACCUCAAUGGCUCUGAUGAUUUCGAUAUCAAAAUACCAUAUAUGAUCUUCAAGGGUUUGACUGUGAAAGAAUUGAAUGAGCUUCGUGAUGACAUCAAAAUGCAUCUGGAUUUUGACAGGGCAACACCCACCCAUGUAAAAUAUUGGGAGGCUCUCCAUGUGGUAUGUGAUUGGGAGCUAGGUGAAGCCAGAAGAACCGCUGCUGCACAAGAAAGGGGUCUGCAUUCCAGUGUUGAGCCAGAUGUGAAGAGCCUUUUGCUGGGGAGGUCACUUGCAGAGUUGGAUGCUUUACAGAUUCAUAUUGACUCAGAGAUGCGUACUGGUAGAGCAAAGGUGGUUGAGUACUGGGAAGCCAUUUUAAAACAUCUCCACAUAUACAAGGCCAAGGCUUGUUUACAAGAAAUUCAUGCUAAAAUGCGGCGUAAGCAUUUGCAACUAAGUCAAGAUAAAUUGACCACCGCGAUACCUGAAGAAGUUGAAGAUGAGGCUGGACCAUUGUCACCACAAUUGUUGCAUGUUGACCACAAUGAGGAUGAGGAAGCUAUUGACCCUGAACAGGACAGGGCUAUACUGGAGCGGAAACAUUUGCUUGUAUUACAACAGUGCCAAACUCGAAUUGCAGCUCCAUCUGAUGAUCAUUUUGAGAUGAAGGCCAUAAAAGUUAUGGGACCUAUGGAAGAUGGAGAUGCACUGUUUGGAUCUGCUGCUCAAGUUAAUCUAGAUUCACAGGUUUAUUGGGGGCAUGACAAAGACAGGCCUAGGAAGCCCAAGUACUUCAACCGUGUUCACACUGGAUAUGAGUGGAAUAAAUAUAAUCGGACUCACUAUGACCAUGACAACCCGCCUCCAAAGAUUGUGCAGGGUUACAAAUUCAACAUUUUUUAUCCUGAUCUUGUUGAUAAUGGAAAAGCCCCGACAUAUUCUAUUGAGAAAGAUGGCAGCAGCAAUGGGGAGACCUGCAUCAUAAAAUUCCAUGCAGGUCCGCCAUAUGAGGACUUAUCUUUUCGCAUUGUAAACCACGAAUGGGAGUUCUCUCAGAAGAAAGGUUUCAAGGUCACAUUCGAACAUGGAAUCUUCCAUCUCUACUUCAACUUCAAACGUUACAGCUACCGCAGAUAGUUUUCAGCCCCAUUCAUACUCUUCAUUUUGUCUAUUUCUUUAUUUGCUCUCAUUGUUUACUUCAUACUCUGCUGCAAACUUAAUUGUCUGAUAUGUGAACAUUUCAUGAUUUGGUAUGUUGAGAAAUGGUUAAUAACUUGGUUAUUCCUGCUUCAAGUUUUUACUUGAAACCUUGGUUGGUUGCCUGAUGUAGUUUCUUCAAUGUGUUUAAUUUUUACAAGCUUCGACUCAAAAUCUGCAUUUGUACUGUUAACUUAUUUCUGUUAAUAAUUCUUGCCUUCAUGCUGCAAUUUAUCUUAUGUACUCCUUUUUCCUCUGUGAUAAUUCACUUAUAACUGAAAAAUUUACUUCAUUACCACCUUCUAACACAAGAAUAGAUUUUGUUAGAAGUCCCACAUUGGCUAGAGAUAAGGCCAAUCAAGUGUUUAUAAGGGUUGUGCAAACCUCAACUCUUGAGCUAGCUUUUGUGGUUGAGUAUAGGCCUCCCAAUUUCUAAUAUGGUAUCAGAGCAAGUUUCGAUCCUACCGCUGUGAGGGGGCUCCUCCCCCGUGAGCCCCCUCAUGGCUACUUUCCAAAUCUCUUUGGAUUUAUUUUUCGUACUUUGCUUCCGCGCUUGUUAACUCUAGCCGUUUUCUUACGGCCUCGUUCUUUCUAAAAUACACUCCCCUUUGUCUUGAAACCGUAGUUGCUUUCGUGAUGUCUCUCUCCGCUAUUUGGUUUUUGGGUCCUAUGUUUUGGGCCUGCUUUGCCAUCUCCUCAUUGUGCACUGUUCACGCUGGUUAGUCAACCCCUCUUUGAUUUCUGGUUGUUUUUUCUAUCUUCUCCAUGGCUGAUGCGUUUUGAAGAUCACCUGCUAAAGAGGAAUUCUGUGUCCUUUGCUCUUUUUUGGAUCGCCUCCUGCCACCACCGACCGUCGCUGCCGCCAAUGGCGACUCAUCUGGUUUUGCUUUCAGAUCUGGAAGCGUUUUUCUUGAAAUUGUGGCUAUGCAACCAUAUGCCACAUUACGACUGUUAUUGGAUUUGGCAAGUGUGGUAUUUUGAGUUUGGAAUUUUCAAUUCCAUUGGAAGCUGGCUAAUGGGAAUUGCAUCAUGGGCUGCUACCUUCACGAGAAAAAAAUAAAAGUUUCACAAAUAUAAGGAUUUCAAGAUUCAGAAGAAUCAGAACAUUGUUGGCUCAUGUGAUGUCAAGUUCCCAAUACGGCUGGAGGGUCUAGCAUAUUCCCAUGGUUUUGGUUGGCAUAGUUGUGGUUUUAGAGUUGGAAAAGAUUUUUGGAUUGUUUUUGGGAAUUUCUCUCUCCGGCAGCAGCGGCUUCUCAAGUUAAUUAUAUUUGUUACAAGCUCUGCAUAUGACAUAUAUGCUCUAGCUUGAGGGGAGGAUCUGGAUAUUGUUAAAUCUUAAUUAUAUUUGUUACAAGCUAUGCAUAUGACAUGUAUGCUAUAGCUUGAGGGGAAGUGUUGGAUAUUGCUAAAUAUCCUAAUAGAGACCACAGUCAACCACCGCCGACAAUCGUUAUCCUUGUUGCUGGUUUGGUGGAGGUUGUAUCCAAGAAUGAUGCCUCUAUGGUGAUUGUUUAAUAGCAGCGUGUUUUGGAGUAUCCAACAAUCUGAUUCAGAUUGUUGUGUUCCUUUGCUUUCCUAUUUCUCCAUAAUCCAGUUUGUGCUAAUGUUUUUGGGAGAGGCAGAAGCAUCAGGUUGAAUCUAAUUGUAUUGCUCCGCUGCAUUGUUCUCGCUGGUCCUAUUUGUGUUUCGGCCAGAUUUGAAUUUUAAGGUCUUCUAUUUGACGUGUGUUGUGGCGCCACCGUUAAUGGUCGUCCGGUCUUCCUCUUCCAGUUUGGUUCAUGGGUCUGGUGUGUUUUUCUCAUCUGCGAGCGAUGUUUCUUGCUGUUUGAGAUCUUAGUUUGAGUCUCAUGGUUCGAGAUGCUCUUAUUAUAUUGAUCUUGGCUGACUUUAUGCAAUUUGGUUUUGAAGGUGACAAUGUCACCUUCGUUUGUUUUGUCUCGAUUGUUUGGUUUUCUGGUUUUAGGGCUUCAGCUGCGAGUUGCGCUGGCCCACUCUCUAGUUGAGAGUUAUUGGUUUUGGUUUUAGGGCUUCAGCUGCGAGUUGCGCUGACCCACUCUCUAAUGUUUGAGAGUUGUCUGUGUCAAAGUUGACACCAUUGUUUGUCUUAUAAGCCAUCAAUCGAUCGACCUCAAGUAUGUUUUAUUUCUGUGUGGUUGUUGUUGGUGAGUUGUUGCUUCAGCCUUGUUUUGUUUUGGGCGUAUUGUUGCUGAUUUUUCGCCCUUGUUUGCUGGCUCAGCUACCCUACGACACUUCAGAAGAGUUGGUUUUUAUCUUGCAUCAAUUUCAGCCAGAUCAAGUAUGUGAAGUUGUCUUUUGCCUGCCCAUGGAUUUAGCAGAAGUUCGAAAGAUUAUUCAAUUUUAAGGAUGAGAAGUUGUCUUUUGCCGCUAUGGAUUUACUAGAAGUUUGAAAGGUUAUUCAAUUCAGAGAUUCGUCAAGACCGUCAUUAUUAAGGGAUAUCUAUUAAGAUAAUUUUCUUCUUGGGUUAGAUUUGUUACAAGAUUAAGUAAACUUUAGCUUGAGGGGGAGUGUUGAAUAUCUAUUAAGAUUUAGUUUAUUAUUAGUCUUAUCUCAUAGAGAUAUUGUUAAAAUUUGUUUAUCUAUUUUAGAUUAGUAUUUAUUUAAACAGACAUGAUGUUAGGAAACAAUUUGCCCAACAAUGAAAACAGCAAACUGGGAAUUUAAAAGUAAGAGAAAGAUGAUUGUUUAUUGAUAGAUUUGGAGAAUUACAGAGAAGGGGAAUGGAUCCCUUUACUGACCAGAGCGUAGCUCCUUAUAGGAAGCUCAGUGCUUCCUAUCCAUUACACUUAAAAGCUAUCAAAUGAGAUACCUCUCUACCCCUCCCUAACUACCUUCUUAUAACAAAUCUAAAUACAAUCCUCUGCUCUCUUUCUCUCUCUGCCAGGUGUGCAUUCUGUUAGUUAGUAAUAGAUUCCUUCUGCCCCCUUCUAGAGUACACCUUCCAUAUUCUUGGCCCUGCGUCAUCAUGUGUUAAAAUCCCAUUUUGAAUUGCCUCUCUAACAAUGCCACCUCCUGAAGAUUCAACCUUGUCCUCAAGGGUGAACCUUGGGAACUCACUUCGAAUUGUUGUAACAUCUUCCCAUGUAGCUUCUUCUGGUGUUUUGCCCUGCCACUGUACUAGAACCUGUGGAACACUCUCUUCCUGACGCAGAAUGUCACGAUGAGCCAAAAUUGACGCUGGUUGGAUUGAAGGCAACUCUUCUCCGUCCAAUUGCUCAGGCAAUUCAGACUCCUCCGCAUAACUACCAACAGCUCUCUUAAGCAAGGAUAUGUGGAAAACAGGAUGAAUACGUGCUCCCUCAGGUAAUUUCAACCGGUAAGCCACCGCCCCCACACGAGCCACAAUAGGAUAAGGACCAAAGUAUCGCGCAGCCAGCUUGGCAUGAACACGAUUCGCCAUAGACAAUUGACGGUGAGCUCGGAGUUUGACGAAAACCCACUCUCCAACUUCAAAUUCUUGAUGCUUGCGUUUUGCAUUCGCCUGCGCGCGCAUCCGCUCCUGAGCCACCAACAAAUGUUGUUUUAAUUGACGCAGCGCCUCAUCUCUAUCUUGCAAAUCCCUUUCAACAGCCCCCACACGAGUUUCUCCCAGCACCCAACGCUUGAUUCCCGGAGGCUUCCGACCAUAAACUGCCUCAAACGGAGUUUGCUGUGUGGCAGAGUGGUAUGAAGUAUUAAACCAAUACUCCGCCCAAUGAAGCCACGAAGCCCAAGUCUUCGGUUGAUCCGCCGCAAAACAACGCAGGUAUGUUUCCAAGCAACGGUUAACAAUCUCCGUCUGACCAUCUGUCUCCGGAUGAUAUGCUGAACUCAUUUUCAGCUGAGUCCCCUGCAAUCGGAACAAUUCCUUCCAGAAAUGGCUCACGAAUAAAGGGUCACGAUCACUUAUGAUUGACGAAGGAAUCCCGUGUAAACGGAUUACUUCCUUUGCAAAGAUCUCAGCCACACUUCGAGCAGUAUAAGGAUGUUUCAAUGCGAUGAAGUGUGCAUACUUUGUGAGGCGAUCGACGACUACAAAGAUUGCCUCGAACCCCCUGGAUCUAGGUAAACCAGUUAUGAAAUCAAGGGAUACAUCUUCCCAAACACGCUCAGGAAUUGGUAAUGGCUGAAGAAGCCCUGCUGGAGAUGAAGCUAAAUAUUUAUGGCGCUGGCACACAUCACAUGCUUUGACAAAGUCUUGGAUUGUCUUCGUCAUCCCCCUCCAAUACAGAUUUGCAGCAAUUCGACGAUAAGUGCGCAGAAAUCCCGAAUGCCCUCCCUGUGGAGAAGUGUGGAACUCCUCAAGCAACUUCGGAAUCAAAGAAGAGGUAUUGGAAAUGACCACACGCCCCUGAUACAAAAGUGUACCCUGAUUCGCACGAUACCCAGGAUGAGAAAGAGGAUCUUGAGCCACUUCACGCAUAAUUUGGCUCAAUUUGGGAUCACUUAGUACCUCGUCUUGAACUACCUUCUGUUCCUCCCACAGUGGAUAAGACAACAAUGGGCACAACUCCCCUGUUUCUUCUACUCGCGACAGAGCAUCUGCGCCGCGAUUCGUCUUCCCUGGUUUAUAAACAAUGUCAAAAUUAUAGCCCAGCAACUUCGCAGCCCAAUUCUGUUGGUCCCCAGUAACGAUUUUCUGAUGUAGGAAUUCCUUAAGGCUCUUUUGAUCCGUCGAAACCACAAAUUUGCGACCCAACAAGUAAGGCCUCCAAUGCUGAAUUGCUAGAGCUACUGCCAUUAGCUCUUUCUCAUAUGCGGACUUAGCAAGAUUCCUGGGCCCUAAAGCUUUACUGAAAUAAGCAAUUGGAUGCUGCCCCUGUAAUAAAAUUGCUCCAAUUCCAACCCCAGACGCAUCACACUCAAGACGGAAUUCUUGAGUAAAGUCUGACAGCGCUAAUACAGGAGCAGUGGUGAGUCUUACCUUGAGUUCCUCGAAGGCUUGUUGCGCCUGUUCUCCCCACUUGAAUGCAUCCUUCUUGGUGAGCUCCGUUAAUGGCCUUGCUAUCUUGCCGUAAUUCUGGAUAAAUUUGCGAUAAUAUCCUGUGAGUCCCAAGAAGCCACGCACUCCUUUUACAUUCUUAGGGAUUGGCCACGAUUUCACACUGUCAAUCUUGCCAGGAUCCACCGCAACUCCUUCCUCUGAAAUCAAAUGGCCCAAAUAUUCCACCGAUUUGGUCGCAAACUGACACUUCUUCUUGUUUGCUGUCAAUUGGUGGUGCUGCAAAAUUCCCAGAACUGUUUUCAGCUGCCUCAUGUGCUCUUCCCAAGUCUUACUAUAGACCAAAAUGUCGUCGAAGAACACCAGCACCCCGCGCCUUAAGAGAGGACGGAAUACCUCAUUCAUGAGGCUCUGGAAUGUAGAAGGGGCAUUCAUCAACCCGAAUGGCAUGACCAUGUACUCGUAAUGUCCUUCAUGGGUCCGGAAAGCUGUCUUGUGAAUGUCCUCAGGUUUGAGCAAAACUUGGUGAUACCCUGAUUUUAAAUCGAGCUUAGAGAAAAAUACUGACCCAUGGAGCUCAUCGAGUAAUUCUUCAAUCACGGGUAUGGGGAACUUGUCGGGCACGGUUACACGAUUAAGAGCCCUGUAAUCGACACACAUUCGCCAUGUUUGGUCCUUCUUUUUGACCAAAAUUACAGGACUGGAAUAGGCGCUUGUGCUCUGUCUUAUAAUCCCUGCUGCGAGCAUCUCUCUAACUUGCUUCUCUAUCUCGUUCUUCUGGUGAUGAGGAUAACGGUACGGCCUAACGUUCACAGGACCUUUCCCUUCCAUGAUCGUGAUCCCAUGUUCCCUGCCUCUUCCUGGAGGUAGACCUUGCUUCUCUUGAAACACUUCCUCAAAACUGUCCAAAAGAUCAUUCAAUUCCUUUUUCCGCGACGAGGUAGUGUCUCCGGACAGCGGGUUGCCAAGCUUCUCCGAGUACCUGGUUCCCAGCAACCCAGGUGCCCUUUCACCCUUGGAAAAAAUGCUUUGCAACGCCUCAAUCUGCUCUUUCCCAUUACUCAUCCCCUGUAAUGUGACCCACUUCUUAUUGCUCCAAAAACUCAGAACUUGUGUUUCCCAAUUCACUAUCGUGUCUCCCAAGGUCUUGAGCCAUUCAAUUCCCAGCACAAUAUCUGGCCCUCCCAAAUCGAACAAUUGCGGAGCACAUUGAAGUUGAUAGCCCCCAAAAUCAAUUUCCAAACCAGCACAGCGCCCUCGAGCUUGAGAUUUGAACCCAUCUCCUAGCUUCACGGUCAUUCUCGGCGUGUCAACUACCUCCCAACCAAGCCUCUGUACCAAAUAGCAAUCCACAAAAUUGUGGGUUGCUCCGCUAUCCACAAGCACCACCACGGGGACACCAUUAAUUGUACCACUAAGCUUCAGAGUUCGCGGAAUCCCUCCAUUUUUCAUGCCAAAUUCACACAAACUCAUUAAGCUAAGCUCACCCUCCUGGAUUUCUUCUUCUUCCUGAAGUUCCAUUGCCAAGAUUUUACUCUCAUCAAUCUCAUCCUCUUCAUCCUCCAGAAUUAGCAGCCUCAAGUGUUUGUCGGGGCAAACGUGAUUUGGGUGAUAUGGCCCUCCACAUUUGAAGCACAGCCCUUUUUGCCUCCGCUCCAUCAGUUGGGGAUAAGACAAGUGAUUGAACCCACGGUCCCUAGAUCCAACCCGACGAGCCUCUCCUCCUGUUUUUGUCUGCUCUCCACGGGAAUUUGGAUUGGGUUUGCCCGUGUUUUGGCCCACAUCUUUGUUUCCUCUAACCCAGACCCAAUCAGCCCCAUUACCCUUAGAUGCUCCACUAUACCCGGGUCUGGGCCCAAUUCCCCCAAACCGGGUUGCUCUCACUUGGCCCAUUCCUCCUUCUCCCCUCACUUCCUUCUCCACCGCCCUCGUCACUACCAACAGCUUCGCCCGAUUGAUUCCUCCCAUAGCUACCAAGCUCCGUACCUUCCCCCUUAUUUCUUCCUUCAACCCGUGCAGAAAAUAACCCUGAUAUUGUUUCUCCGGGAGUUUGGGAAUUUGGGCAGUAAGAUACUCAAAAUCCGUGAUGUACUCCUCCACAGUGCCACGUUGCCGGAGCUCCGAAAGUUGCUCAUAGACAUCGCCGUCGCCGUUGCCCCCAUAUCGCUCCAAUAGCGCAUCUCGGAGUCGAUCCCAUGUCAGCUCCUCCUCAGCUUCCAGCAAGGAAUUGUAGAAGUGUAUGGUUCCUCCCUCCAUACUCAACUGAGCCAGGCUCACCUUGACCUCAGGGGAAGUGUCCUGUACCUUGAAAUAGAUCUCUGCGCGUGAGAUCCAUCCCGCUGGAUCUUUUCCGUCGAACAUUGGAAGCUCCACCUUCUUGACUGAUUGACGGAACUCAUUCAGAGCCUCACCGUUCAGUGUUGGUCGGACCGAUUCCAUCUCUUUUCCUCCUAUUGAUUCCGGGGUUUUUCCCCCAACUUCACGAUCUGGUCUGUUGUCGCUGUCAUCCCCAUCAAUGGCGACUGAUUUCCCCACCGCUCUUUCGACCAUCGUCACAAGCGUCGUGGGUAGAUCCUUCAUCGCCGACGUCACCGCCGUCAAAGCGGUGCACAUCGCGGCGAGCUCACUCUCCAACGCAUCAAUCUUGGCCUCCAUCUGCGUGACUGCAACCCUGGUCUUCCUGGGUGGCAUCCACUGGUUCCGGUGCAGAAGUAUCCGGUAGGUCGGACCAAAAUUGUUAGGAAACAAUUUGCCCAACAAUGAAAACAGCAAACUGGGAAUUUAAAAGUAAGAGAAAGAUGAUUGUUUAUUGAUAGAUUUGGAGAAUUACAGAGAAGGGGAAUGGAUCCCUUUACCGACCAGAGCGUAGCUCCUUAUAGGAAGCUCAGUGCUUCCUAUCCAUUACACUUAAAAGCUAUCAAAUGAGAUACCUCUCUACCCCUCCCUAACUACCUUCUUAUAACAAAUCUAAAUACAAUCCUCUGCUCUCUUUCUCUCUCUGCCAGGUGUGCAUUCUGUUAGUUAGUAAUAGAUUCCUUCUGCCCCCUUCUAGAGUACACCUUCCACAUUCUUGGCCCUGCGUCAUCAUGUGUUAAAAUCCCAUUUUGAAUUGCCUCUCUAACAAAUAUCUAUUUAAAUAGAGAUAUGUUUAGAUAGAUUUAGUUUGUUUUAAUCUCUUUGUUAGUCUAUAUAUAUUGUAGUCUAGUCAAGUAUUAUGAAUGAAAUAUACAAGUAAUAUUUUCAUCAAAUUCAAGUUGGUAUCAGAGCCUAUCCUAGAUCCAUUUGUUGUGUGGAGACCUCCCAUAUUUGGGCCACCCGUUGUUGUUCCCACGUUCCAGUCUGUUCAAUCCUGGACGUGAGGGGGUGUGUUAGAAGUCCCACAUUGGCUAGAGAUAAGGCCAAUCAAGUGUUUAUAAGGGUUGUGCAAACCUCAACUCUUGAGCUAGCUUUUGUGGUUGAGUAUAGGCCUCCCAAUUUCUAAUAGAUUUCUUAUAGAAAUGGCAUGUAUCUUUUGAAGGGAGCGAAGGAUUUAUCUUAUGCAUUUUGUCUUCAACUGAAUUGGCCAUUAAAGAUUUAAUGCCUAUAACAUGAUUGAAGAAAAGAAACCCCUCCAGGGAAACGUGUCAGCUUUUGGUAAAAAAUUCCCCCUCCAGGGACACGUGUCAAUUUUUUAGUGAAUUAGUUUUAGUUGUUAGAAGAAUUUCUCAACUUUCUGUCCGAAUCACUUAGCUGCUUAUGAAUUUAUAGUUGAAAUUUUUGUUGAAGUAGUUUGUUCAGCUGCUUUCUAUGAAUUUCAAAAAAUUGAGCCUGCUCAAGGUUCUGCACAGCUUGAGGAAUUGUGAGUUGCCUCUUGAGGAAGUUCAGGGACUAGCUGGAAUUCUGGAGCUUAUACUGUUUACCUUUUUCUUUUGUGGAUUAUCAGGUUCAGGUCUGCCUCACUGCUUUUUGUAGUGUUAUUUUUUCAAAAGGCCUUCAACUAACCAUCACUUACAAUGAAGAUACUUGACAUUAAUUUUCAGCAAAAAGAUCCUGUUAUGAGGUUUAGACUUUAUAUGAUAACUUGGGUACAAAUUGCUUGUUAACAUUAAAUUGUAUGGUGAGACUUGUAUGUUAACAUUUGUGCACCCAUAGUCUUCCAUCAAUAAUAAUAUUGUUAGGUGUCUUUCCUUGCCACGGUGGAACAAAGAUAUUCCAAAUAACAAUGUAUUUUCAUGAACCUAUUCUUUUUUCUGCCUUGAAACAUGAACUCCAUUCAGAACAUCCAGGGAUUUUGUUGCUAAGGGACACUUUCCAAUGAUAGUCUCAGUUAGUAGUUUUUUUAUUUUUUUAAAUAGUUGGAAAUGGUUGGACUGGUUUGUUGGGAACCUGAGCUCCAUUCAGAACUUCCGGGGAUUUUGUUUCUAAGGGACACUUUCCAAUGAUAGUCUAAGUUAGUAGUGUUUUUUUUUUGGAAUAGUUGGAAAUGGUUUGGGAACCUGAGUUUCUGCUUUCCUAUUCUCGAGCAAUAAGAAAUUUCUAUCUGCUUCCAGGAUCAAAUUAAUUCUGGGUUUAGGUUUCUAUUAGUGUAAUUGUUUUACUGAUACUAACAGUUCUAAUAUCAGUAGUUAUUUCCUUUAUGGGUUUAGUAUUCUAUUCUUCUAUCCUAACAAGUAACAACUAACCAACUAAAGUUGGUUACAAUUAGUUAUUUCCUUUGCUCGGUUUGCACCCAACAUACACAUGUUUAAUGAGAGUUUUAAGCAUAUGGCUAUCACAUAACUUACAGGUUAACCUAUUCUUUCAUUUACUAUUGAUCUUUGAAACCCAAUGUUUCUAGCCCUCAUGUUAUAAUUUUCUAUUUCUAGGUUUUAACCAUUUUAAUAGUCUCAAAUAUGAACUAGUUGUUGAUAAUUUUUUUCUUUCUCUCUUAUUUAUUGAUUUAAAUUGUUGGCCAGAGCUUACAACCGACAGAUUUGUUGUUGCCAUGGUCCGUAAUCUUCUAAUAUUUCUUUCGGAAGUUAAUCAAGUCCAAACAUAAACCUUUUUUAUUUUUUGACAGUAGAGAUAAUUCCAGAGUUGUUAAUUUGCUCCAUUGUGUUCAUUUGUUCUCUACUUGUGUUCAUGGAGGUGAAAAGCUCAAUAUCUUUUAUUUGAAGUCUGGAACUGGUGAGAGGAUUACUUCAAGAAAUACUGUAGCUUUUAAUUCGUAGGCCUUUAGUGGCCUGGCAAGUUUUAGUGGUUCAUUUUUUUUUUAAAUUUCCAAUGUUCUCAAAUGGUGCAUCCGGUAAGUUUUCUAUAUAUAUGUGUGUGUGUGUGUGUGUGUGUGUGUGUGUUCCUUAAUAAGGAUGAAUGUAUGCGAAUACAAUAAACAACAAAGGGGAAGAACAACAAAAAGAAAGGUACUAGAUACAAUAAAUCUGAUUCUUAGCAUAUUCUAUUAAUUGCUGAUGAAUUUCUUUUUCCAGAAAUUGUUUCUCUUGAUCAUUGGGCUGAAGUUGAAGUGUUGGGGGAAGAUGCUGAGGAGGGUGAAGGCGUUGCAUUCAGGAUGCGUGCCGACGAGGUUUCUAACAGAGGGGCGGAGGACGGGGUCGUGGUGUGCAGACCGUCACUGGGAAUUGCCUCUGUGACUGGUGUUGACCCCGGCGGUAGCGGUGCGGCUGAUAACGGUGCAGGACGGUUGCUAGUAGCUAAGGUGUUUUAUUUUUGUAUGAAAAAAGAGCAUGGUUUCAGGGGUGUGGUUAUGGUGACUGCAGAUGAAUUUGGAAACAGAAUUUUAUGCGGGUUUGAUGCAAGUGAAUAUUAUGGAAGCCAGUUAUGUCGUCUUGAUGGUGUUUUUGCCCAAGUCGGGUGUGAUUGGGUACUACAACGUUGCAAUGUUUGGGGCCUAGUGUGUGCUAUGCUACAAACGGUGGAUGGGGCAGCAGUGACCAAGUCUGUUCCCAAAGGGUGUGAUCAUAACAGUGUUGGGGUAGAUAAUGCUUAUGGUGUUGCUAUGGAGCAGAGGCUGUUUAUAAAUGAAGCGGUAUCUUCUCACCUUGGUGCAGAAGGGUUUGAUCAUGCAGGGAAUGAGCGUAUUCAAGAGUCCAAGAGGUUGUGGCCGUGUCAUGUGAAUGGAAGCUCUCUAAACUUAGAAGAGGUAUCUUUGUUGCAACUGUUUCAUGGUAUGAAUGUUGAGGAAGCGGAGAGAGACAGAUGCUGGAGCAUUGGUGAGGAUGGUUCUUCACGAUAUUCCAGGUAUGCUUCUGGCUUUGAUCCAGAUUUAAACUGCGCUGCGGAUUUCUUUUCUUCUUCAUCCAUUCGCUUUGGUUUGGAUGAAACCAUUCAGUGCCUCAUGGAUCAUCCCUCUUUUGGGGGAGGGAAGAAUGCUCUAGGUGAAAAUCUUGUGGAAAAGGUUUCCCAAAAUUUUCUUCGUUCAGAAGCUUCAGUUUCUAAUCGUCGGAGACGUAGUCAUCCAAAGAAACAUAAGCAACAUAAGCGAGGUCGUAAACCACGGGACGCCACUUAUGAAAGUCUUUGCCAGACUUGCACUAUCAAUAUGGGGUUUUAACGCCCGCUAGAAAAGCUAAGUUGUUGGUUCAAGGCCCGGGAAUUGUUUUUUAGAAUUUUAGGAGGUCGAGGGGUUUUGAGAUUUUGGUAGUCGGGGCUUUCUGAUUCCUGGUUCCUUUGCUUUGUUUUUGUGGUGUGUAUGCCAUAGGUUUUUAUUGUCUUGCCUUGAUUUGAGAGGUAUUCUUUGGGGGUUUUAGUUUUCUGUGGUGGUUUCUUUGCGGUGUCUUUUGGUUUUCCCCCUUUUUGGUUGGCUUUUGUUGGGGGUUUGUGCAUGGAGGGGUCUUGGCUUGUUGCUCGGUUUUCUAGUUGUUUUUCAUCUUUGUCUGUGUCUGUUUUGCUUGAGAAGGCUUGUUCUCAAGUUUCAUGAUCAAUAAAACUUUAUGCUUCAAAAAAAAAAGAAUAAAUGUGAAUUGAGAGAAAAGAAGAUUGCUUGUAUAAGACGCUUGGGUGUUGUGGGAUGUUCAUAAGACCAGGGUAUUCUUUCUUUGUAAUUCAUCUCCUUCUUAGGAAUCCAUUUUUCUGAGAAGGAAGUCAUAUCAGCAUAUGUCAUACUUUUUAUUCGAUCAAUUUCUUCUUUGUUGAACCAGUUUCUUAACAAUGAACAUUCUUGCAUGAUUUGACUAGAGCCAUGUCUUAGUACUCACUUUAAAGCGUUUGUAGGUUGUGGGACUGCAUUGCAUUGUCAGGUGAUAUUGAUUUUUCUGAGGCUUCGUUCUAGAUGCAGAUAAUAGAGUUGGCAAUAGCAUUUAAGGCCAGAACUCAACAUAGUUUGUUAUGGGUAAUUUUCAUAUAUAUAAUCAAAACGUUGAUUAUGUGUAUGAUGCCUUCUAACAGUUUUGUUUGUACCCAAAAAUGCUCCAAUGUUCAAUUUCUUGUGGCAUGUUUCAGUUUUCCUCAAUGCCACGGAAUAGCAGCAAGAUGGUGCCCCGACGACCACAAUUUCAGCUGCUUUAGCGGCUGCGUGACGGGUGCACUAACCUGGGAUGCUACACAGCAAUUAGGAGCAUUCGCAUUUGAUUGGUUUGACUGUGAUUUAGGACCCCCAUGCUCCUCUAUUUGUCUGGUGCAGUGGUUUAUAUAGGAUAAUAGGACUAUAUUUCAACUUAUACUCAUUAACCAACGUUCAUAUAUUUUUUCCAUAUUUCGACCACAGAAUAAGGAGUAUAUUGUUUGACUAUUUCUUAUUGUAUCCAAGUGAUAGGGGAAAAUAAGGAAGGGAGAGAAUAAAUUAUUUGGCUUACUAAAAAGUGCAGAAGGAGUAUAAUGUUUGACUCUUACUUCCUCCUUUAUCUGGUGCACCAUUCGUGGUUGGCUCUCCAAAAUCAGUUUGUACAUCAGUGAAUGAGCGACAUGACAACAAACCGUGGAUUGGUGAAGAGAAAAAAGUUUUGGCCUUGAAGUGAGAUGGGGUUUUCAUAUUCAUAAGAAUUGGGAUGUGUAAUGGUUUAAAUGUUAAUUUUUCUCCUUUUUAUGGUCGUGUAAAGCUGGGGAUGGGGAGUGAGGAGUUGUAUGGUGACAUUGUGUCUCUGUAUAUUUAUUUUUGUAGCAAACAGAUGAUAUGAAUGUACCUUAAAAUGCUAGCAUUUAUUUGAGUGA